AGAUCCUAAGCUGACACAAAGAAUCUGAAGAAAGGUUAGGUCAUCUGAAGAAAAAGACUUGAAGAAGGGGGCAACUGGAGUUCAAGGUCAAGAUUUAAGAACAGACAAGACGUCUAGAAGAUCCUGAGACACUAGCCAAGACAUCUGAAGACCCAUCAGGCUGCCAGAAGCCGUCUUGUUUCUGUUGAGGUGUUUGUUUACCAGCGUCACCGUGGCGACUCGGAAACUGUUCUCCAUGAAGAUGAGUGAGACCUGGGUCUGCUUCUCCUGCUGUUACACCGAACAGCCGCAGCCGAGGAGAAAAAGAAUAGACCGGUCGAUGAUAGGCCAACCUACAAACUUUGUCCACACGGGACACAUAGGCCACGGGGACAUGGCUGGCAAUCAUAUCAAUUCGGUGCAGCUGCAAAUGAGAUCGAAGGGAGGCUACGAUCACUCGUCACCGGUCAACAACUACCAGAUCAGAGCAGUAGCCGUGGGGGAGCUUAAUAACCAUAACUAGAUUGCAAGAAGCAAGUCAGAUAGGAAUACGUUGAGAAAACUCAGUGCAGUUGGACUUACUACUGUGUACCAGCCACUACGUAUGUUUCCUAGGAUAUCCUCAUCCCUGCAUCUUCAAACAAUCUCCAAAGACAAGACUUUUCCGAAGCGUAGUUUGGGAAAUAUACUGUCAUCAAGAUGCCUUCAAGUUGGAUUUUACUACAGCGCCACACUGUGUUUGGGAAAGGAACUGCAGCACAUGUCUCUGCCAUACAUAGAGGGAAAAAACAUGAGAUUGCUACCUGUACAUAAAAAUGCUUUGAAAAUUUUAAUACAAGGACUGCAUGAGGUUAAUGAUAUUAUGCAGGUGAGCCUGCAGUUUUAAUCGGAAGAGAUAGGGGGCAUUAUUGUGAAGAGAUAUAAGAUUUUAGAUUUUCAUACAUGUACGUUGUACUUGUCUUUCGCUGCUUGCUUUGCUGAGUUUCAUUGCACUACCUUUUUUGGAAGGCAAAGGCAUAUGAAAUAUCAUAGCAGUUGGUUUUAAACUCCAUACUUCUGUGUAUUCUGUGUCCAUGUGUAACUUGUAUAUCUACAUUCCUUGAUUUUUUACAUGGUAAAUUUAUAUGUGCAUUAUCCUCCAUGUUUUUCAUGUCGUUUUUAACCGUUUUCUUGUCAAUUUUAUCACAUUUUACAUGUGUAUUGUGUUGUUUAAGUGUUACUGAAAGAAAGGCUUGUUGGGGUCUGUGAAUAUAUGGUGUAGGAGUGGCCUUUAUUUUUGUCUCCAAGCAGAUGUUGGGGGAGUUGCUCCAUUGUUUUAAAGGCAUCCAGUGCA